UACGAAGGGUGCAAGCGUUACUCGGAAUUACUGGGCGUAAAGCGUGCGUAGGUGGUGAGUUAAGUCUGAUGUGAAAUCCCCGGGCUCAACCUGGGAAUGGCAUUGGAUACUGGCUCGCUGGAGUGCGGUAGAGGGUGGUGGAAUUCCCGGUGUAGCAGUGAAAUGCGUAGAGAUCGGGGAGGAACAUCUGUGGCGAAGGCGGCCACCUGGACCAGCACUGACACUGAGGCACGAAAGCGUGGGGAGCAAACAGG
rnacentral:rRNA from 1 species